GCCGUCGUGGCUCAGUGGUAGAGCACAUCCUUGGUAAGGAUGGGGUCGUGAGUCCGAUUCUCACCGGCGGCACCA
rnacentral:tRNA from 1 species